GUGGGGAAUAUUGGACAAUGGGCGAAAGCCUGAUCCAGCCAUGCCGCGUGUGUGAAGAAGGUCUUCGGAUUGUAAAGCACUUUAAGUUGGGAGGAAGGGCAGUAAGUUAAUACCUUGCUGUUUUGACGUUACCAACAGAAUAAGCACCGGCUAACUUCGUGCCAGCAGCCGCGGUAAUACGAAGGGUGCAAGCGUUAAUCGGAAUUACUGGGCGUAAAGCCCGCGUAGGUGGUUUUGUAAGACAGGUGUGAAAUCCCCGGGCUCAACCUGGGAACUGCACUUGUGACUGCAAGGCUAGAGUGUGUCAGAGGGAGGUGGAAUUCCGCGUGUAGCAGUGAAAUGCGUAGAGAUGCGGAGGAACACCGAUGGCGAAGGCAGCCUCCUGGGAUAACACUGACGCUGAGGUGCGAAAGCGUGGGGAGCAAACAGGAUUAGAAACCCCGGUAGUCC
rnacentral:rRNA from 1 species